AUGACGACGACGACGACAAGGAGGAGGCCCUUCAAGGUACCUGAGAUGGCUCUGAGGGUGUGCGUGAUCCCCCUCGCCUUGGCCUCCCUGUGGGAGAUGGCCACCAACAAGCAAGCCGAUGACACCUACGGGGAGAUCAGCUUCUCCAACCUCUCCGGCUUCAAGUAUUUAGUUUUCAUUAACGCUGUCACUGCCGCCUAUUCCGUGGUCUCCAUCCUGAUGUCAUCCUUCAAGUCCCUCGCUCGCUUCGAUUGGCUCAUUUUCCUCCUGGAUCAGGCGGCGGCGUACCUGCUGGUGACAUCGUGCUCGGCGGCGGCGGAGCUGGUGUACCUGGCGAGGGAGGGCGACCGGGAGGUGUCGUGGGGCGAGGUGUGCUCCUACUUCGGUCGGUUCUGCGGCAGGGCCACCGUGUCCGUGGCGCUGCAGGCUGCCGCGCUGCUCUGCUUCGUCGCGCUCUCCCUCGUCUCCGCCUUCCGGGUCUUCCGCGAGUUCGACGCCCCUGGUGCUCAUGUUGAUUGCUCGGGGGACUCUGACUCCAAGCAGGCGCAAGAGCAAGAGGAAGGUAGAUGA
rnacentral:rRNA from 1 species